GGUCUUUCCUGGUGUUGGUAAGUAACACUGACUAAUUGACCAGGGGCGGCAGAUCGCUUUCACCGACUCACAGCAACAGGUGGUCUCCGCUGCAGACGGACGACAAACAAGAUUCACUCUCCUGAAGGCUGAGCCCAAUGGAGCAGAACAGUUAAUGUGGCGGAAAUUUAAAGAGAACAUCACAAGUAUUUGUGCUUAUUUUGUUGGCUGACAAACAGUUCGGAGGACUUUGGGGUUCUUCACUGGAAAUAUCAGGAGUUUGAGGGAUUUCAUGCUCACUUUGCUCCACUACAGAGUCCACAUCUGUGCCACACAGCGUGGUUCAUCAACAUCAACAAAUGCAUCCACACGCCCACCCGCAUGUCUUCACUCCAAUCCUGCACACUUCCUCAACCAUCCUACCAGCUCCAACUGUGAUGGGAACUCAGGACAGAAAUUUCAACAUGCAGCUUCCAACACAAAUGACAUCGAGGACCUCUUUUGCUCCAGUCAGUGCCUUUAAAACACCAACACAGAAGUCUGUCAAACCACCACAAAUGCUGCAAAAACCCAACAGUCUACAUCAAGAGAAUCCUGUCACCAGUUUACCCGACUCAGUGCAACACAAGGAAUCACAGCAGCCCUCCUGCAUGCAUCCGUAUUUGGACUUCUCAUGUGGACACAAUGCAUUUGGAAACACGUGUGAAAGGAGUGAAACUGGCAGAAUAAACCACAACAGAAGUUACCCUUCUGACGUUCGCACACCUUCACCAGCGUCUUGCCACAGUCGUGCAACAAAGAGGGAGCAGCCGGACCAGCCUCCAAACCUGCACUGGAGGGAGAAACCUGAUGAGAAGGAGAAACACAGGAGCUGUCAAACCGACACAAUGAAGGAUUUAUGUCUUACAGAGAAAUCACAGGACCCAAAGGUGACUCCAGAUCUUGUUGGCAGACACAGCAGCUCAGUUUACAGGAAAAGGCAGCUUGAGUGUGAAAGCUUCAUUAAAGUAAAGAGGGCGAAGCAGGAAAUCCUGGAUAACCAGUUUAGUGGUUCUAAGAAUCUGCACUCUGAUCAAUCUCCACUUAUUACGACUCACACACAUCCAGCUUCACACAUUGUACAAAGGCAGCAUAUGAACUUAAGUGAUUUAUCUGUCUUGCAUCCUAACAGCAGUAGAUGCAGCAUCUCUUUUCCAGUCACUGAACUGGAUCCCUACAAAGCUACUUCAUGGGACCAAAUGUUAGACAUUCACAGGAGAAUGGAUCUUCGUGAUAGACAAAAUGUGCUCAAAGACUACUCACUGAAUUCCUGCAAAGUAAUCAGGAUACCUGCUGCAGCUCAGAGGCAACAAAAUGCUCUUUAUGGUUUCUAUGCACCCCCUCUGUAUUUCCCUCCGGCUCUGAGGCAGCAGGAGAUCGUUUACCUGAGAGGAAGGGAAACACUCGCAUCAAGAGAUGUUUCACUACCACUGCAGACGUCACCGCCCUCAUCCUGGCAUUCUGGAAACGUCCUACCCGGAACUGUAAAUCUCAAGGGACUAUCUGAUAAAAAAGGAGAGCAGAUAUUAUCACAACAACAAUCACUCAAUAAUAGUUGAGUUCAGUGUGCAUCGUUUCAGUAGCGCUCCAUGCUGUCCCAAAUGUGAAAACCCAGAGAAAGUGGAGAGCUUUUGAUUACAGUCAAGUAUUACUAACAAAAGAUGCACAAUAGCUUUAGAUAGGGAAAGAGAAUUGUGAAUAAAGCUUGUUGUCCUGGAUAUGUGACUUUCUUACAAUAUGAUUCCCAUGUAAAACUGGUUCUUUCAUUAAACU
ensembl:lncRNA